UACAGAGGUCUCAAGCGUUGUUCGGAUUCAUUGGGCGUAAAGGGUGCGUAGGUGGCGCCAUAAGUCGGGUGUGAAAUCUCGGGGCUUAACUCCGAAACUGCAUUCGAUACUGUGGUGCUUGAGGACUGGAGAGGAGACUGGAAUUCAUGGUGUAGCAGUGAAAUGCGUAGAGAUUAUGAGGAAGACCAGUGGCGAAGGCGGGUCUCUGGACAGUUCCUGACACUGAGGCACGAAGGCCAGGGGAGCAAACGGG
rnacentral:rRNA from 1 species